GGGGACGUAGUGCAGUUUGGCCUAACACGCUAGCUUGUCACGCUAGAGACCGCGGGUUCGACUCCCGUCGUCCCCGCCA
rnacentral:tRNA from 1 species